rnacentral:rRNA from 1 species
AUUGAACGCUGGCGGCAUGCCUUACACAUGCAAGUCGAACGUCAGCACGGGUUCUUGCACCUGUUGGCGAAUGGCGAACGGGUGAGUAAUACAUCGGAACAUGUCCUGUAGUGGGGGGUAGCCCGGCGAAAGCCGGAUUAAUACCGCAUACGAUCUACGAAGGAAAUCGGGGGACCUUCGGGCCUCGCGCUAUAGAGUUUGCCGAUGGCUGGUUAGCUAGUUGGUGGGGUAAAGGCCUACCAAGGCGACGAUCAGUAGCUGGUCUGAGAGGACGACCAGCCACACUGGGACUGAGAGACGGCCCAGACUCCUACGGGAGGAAGCAGUGGGGAAUUUUGGACAAUGGGAGAAAGCCUGAUCCAGCAAUGCCGCGUGUGUGAAGAAGGCCUUCGGGUUGUAAAGCACUUUUGUCCGGAAAGAAAUCCUUGGCCCUAAUACGGUCGGGGGAUGACGGUACCGGAAGAAUAAGCAACGGCUAACUACGUG